rnacentral:rRNA from 1 species
CCGCGUGUGUGAUGAAGGUCUUCGGAUCGUAAAGCACUGUCGCGAGGGACGAAUAAGGGGCGGGCUAACAUCCCGUUCCGAUGACGGUACUUCGAGAGGAAGCACCGGCUAACUCUGUGCCAGCAGCCGCGGUAAUACAGAGGGUGCGAACGUUGCUCGGAAUUACUGGGCGUAAAGCGCGUGUAGGCGGUCCGUUAAGUUGGUAGUGAAAUCCCAUGGCUCAACCAUGGAAGUGCUGCCAAAACUGGCGGGCUGGAGUGCCGGAGAGGGUGGCGGAAUUCCCAGUGUAGAGGUGAAAUUCGUAGAUAUUGGGAGGAACACCGGUGGCGAAGGCGGCCACCUGGACGGUAACUGACGCUAAGACGCGAAAGCGUGGGGAGCAAACAGGAUUAGAUACCCUGGUAGUCCACGCUGUAAACGAUGAGCACUAGGUGUUGCGGGUAUUGACCCCUGCAGUGCCGACGCUAACGCAUUAAGUGCUCCGCCUGGGGACUACGGCCGCAAGGCUA